AACGUAAGAUUACGGGCUGAAUUUAAGCAUAUUAGUAAGCUCAGGAAAAGAAAUCAACUGAGAUUCGGAUAGUAGAGGCGAUUGAACUCCGAAUUAUUCAUGGUGAAUCUUGAAAAAGAAAUGUACCACUUGAUUUAUUCCUCAAUAGAUAUAAUAAUAGAAGUAGUUUGAAACGUCUUGAAAGUGUUACCAAUGCUAGUGAUAGUCUAGAAUAAUUACUCUUUUAUUAUACCGUUAGGGAAUUCUAUCAAAUGAGUAGUGUAGGUCGAAAGUUCUGCAUGAAUAAGGGAGGUAUAUUUCUUCCAAAAUUUCUUUUAUAAUAUUGAUUGUUAGACCGAUAGCAAACAAGUAGUGUGAACGAAAGUUGAAAAGUACUCUGAAGAGAGAGUGAAAUAGUGCAUGAAAUUGUAUUGUCGUAAGCUUGGUUGUUGAUUUAAAAGUGUAAAAAUGUUAUUUGAUUUUAUAUUAGAUAAGAGAUAAUAAUGUAAUAUGUUUUUAAAUAGAAAGUGGUUUUAUGAAAUGAGAGUUUAUUUGACGGUAUAACAAAAGUUAUAUUAGUUGAAUCAACUUGAGAUGAAUAAGAUUAAUUUCGAAUCAAAAUGAAUAUAUUUAGGGUUUUUAUUAUAAAAUCCAACCAAGACCCGUCUUGAAACACGGACCAAGGAGUUUAAUUUGCAAGCAAGUCAUUGUUAUAAUAAAUAACAAAGGCGAAGUGAAAGCGAUAUAAUCUGAAACAGAUUAGACCUUAACAUUUUUGAUAAGAGUCUAAGCUUAUAGAUUAAUACCCGAAAAAUAGCGAUCUAUUCGUGAGAUGAAUGAAGGCAGAGGAAACUCUGCUGAAAGUUCUUGAACUGUCCUGACGUGCAAAUCGGUUGUCAGACUUGCGAAUAGGGGCGAAAGACUCAUCGAGCUAUUUAGUAGCUGGUUCCCUCUGAAAUAUUCCUUAGAAUAGCUGUCGUUAAUCUAUUUUUUAGAUGAACAAUAACGUGAAGUAAAGAGAAUGAAUGGGAGUAUCGGAGACGAAGUCUUUGACUCACUAUCAAACUUUUAAUAUGCGCUAAGUCUAUAUUAUCUUAAUAGUAAUAUAGAUAUUAUGUUAAAAUGUUCUUAAACGACAAGUGGGCCGUGGUUUGGUAAGCAGAUCAGGCAAAGCGAAUUCAAUCGUAAGUUAAUUUAAUGUUAACUAAGUAAUCCUUUAGUCUAGCUCAAAAGGUAUUGAUAUGUGAAGACAAUUGGUUGAUGGCCAUGGAAGUCGGCAUUCACUAAGAAGUGUGUAACAACUUACCAAUCGAAUGUAUUAGUCCUGAAAAUUAACGUUAAGUAAAGGGUUCAAUUAGAAUUAACUACUUCUGAUACAAAAAGAAGUAUGUAAGAGGGUGUUGUGAUAGCUGUGAAGUUUUUAUGUGAAUAAAAAUGGAGCUUUCAUAAGUACAGAUCUUGGUGGUAGUAGCAAUCACUCAAACGAGUUAUCAUUUAUCUUUUCUUCGGAAAAGAUGAUUUAAGCUUUGAGGAACGUAGUGGAUAAGGUUUCCUUGUGAUUAGCAAUUGAGCAAGGGUUAGUCGGUCCUAAUGUGUGAUCCUAGAGGAUUGUUUAAAGAAACAUAGAAAGGGGAUCAGGUUAAUAUUCCUGAACUAUUAGUUUUAAGUAGAAUGAUACCAUUUCGGUGGUAUAAAAGCGGUGACGCUAACGAUUUAACCUUUAACCUCCAAAUAAACCUUCGGAAGAGUUUUCUUCUCUUUUUAACGAGAUUAAAAAUCCUUUCAUUUUACUUUCGAGUAGAGGAAAAGGGUGGAUGACUAUGGAGUUUACGUAAAGUGGAGAAAUAGUGAUCAAACAUCUCGGAAUGCAUAUUUAAAAUUGCUGCUUUGGUAGUAAUUUCGAUUUGGAAGUGUUUUAUUUGGAGCCUUAGAUAAACAACAAAAGAGUAUUUUUCUUUCGAGAAAAAGAAAAUAAAUAAAGGUUAGAGUAAUAUUGUAGUAAUACAACGUUCUAAACUAAUAACCGUACCGUAAUCCGCAUCAGGUUUCCAGGGUUAAAAGCUCUUGUUCUAAUAGAAUAAUGUAAGUAAGGGAAGUCGACUGAUUAGACUUGUAACUUUGGGAUAAAGGUUGGCUCUUGAAUUAGUAUUAGACGGUGUUUGUCCCUUUUUAUUAUCGGCUAUGCAAAUAGUUUACGUUGUUUUUUAAUAAAACUUUUGGAAUUUCAAGUACUUUUUCGGAAGGAACAAAAUGAAAAAAGACCUUUAUUAAUAAACAAUAGAUAAUAAAAAUACAAACAACAAUUUUAAUUUCUGAGGAAAAUAAAAUGAAUGGCUAAUACAUUAAUAAUUCGUUGGAACCGACAGUGUCUAGAGGAAUCUGACUGUUUAAUUAAAACAAAGCUUUUCGUAUUAUAGUUAAACACUAAUAAACGUAAAGUGAUUUCUGCCCAGUGCUUAGAAUGUCAAAGUGAAGAGAUUCGAUUAAGCAAAGGUUAACGGCGGGGGGAACUAUGACUCUCUUUAGGGAGCCAAAAGCC
rnacentral:rRNA from 15 species